rnacentral:rRNA from 1 species
CUCGUAGGUGGUCUGUUACGUCUGCUGUGAAAACCUAGGGCUUAACCCUGGGCCUGCAGUGGAUACAGGCAGACUAGAGGUAGGUAGGGGAGAAUGGAAUUCCCGGUGUAGCGGUGAAAUGCGCAGAUAUCGGGAGGAACACCGGUGGCGAAGGCGGUUCUCUGGGCCUUACCUGGCACUGAGGAGCGAAAGCGUGGGGAGCGAACA